UACGUAGGGACCAAGCGUUGUUCGGAUUUACUGGGCGUAAAGGGCGCGUAGGCGGCAAUUCAAGUCAGCUGUGAAAUCUCUGGGCUUAACCCAGAACGGCCAGCUGAUACUGCUUUGCUAGAGUGCAGAAGGGGCAAUCGGAAUUCUCGGUGUAGCGGUGAAAUGCGUAGAUAUCGAGAGGAACACCUGCGGCGAAGGCGGGUUGCUGGGCUGAUACUGACGCUGAGGCGCGAAAGCCAGGGGAGCGAACGGGG
rnacentral:rRNA from 1 species